rnacentral:rRNA from 1 species
GGUAGUCCACGCCGUAAACGAUGUCGACUUGGAGGUUGUGCCCUUGAGGCGUGGCUUCCGGAGCUAACGCGUUAAGUCGACCGCCUGGGGAGUACGGCCGCAAGGUUAAAACUCAAAUGAAUUGACGGGGGCCCGCACAAGCGGUGGAGCAUGUGGUUUAAUUCGAUGCAACGCGAAGAACCUUACCUACUCUUGGCAUCCAGAGAACUUAGCAGAGAUGCUUUGGUGCCUUCGGGAACUCUGAGACAGGUGCUGCAUGGCUGUCGUCAGCUCGUGUUGUGAAAUGUUGGGUUAAGUCCCGCAACGAGCGCAACCCUUAUCCUUUGUUGCCAGCGGUUAGGCCGGGAACUCAAAGGAGACUGCCAGUGAUAAACUGGAGGAAGGUGGGGAUGACGUCAAGUCAUCAUGGCCCUUACGAGUAGGGCUACACACGUGCUACAAUGGCGCAUACAAAGAGAAGCGACCUCGCGAGAGCAAGCGGACCUCAUAAAGUGCGUCGUAGUCCGGAUUGGAGUCUGCAACUCGACUCCAUGAAGUCGGAAUCGCUAGUAAUCGUAGAUCAGAAUGCUACGGUGAAUACGUUCCCGGGCCUUGUACACACCGCCCGUCACACCAUGGGAGUGGGUUGCAAAAGAAGUAGGUAGCUUAACCUUCGGGAGGGCGCUUACCACUUUGUGAUUCAUGACUGGGGUGAAGUCGUAACAAGGUAACCGUAGGGGAACCUGC